UAAGACAAGAUAUGUGGUCUUUAAAUGUAAUUAGCGACCAGAUGUUUUAUCCGUCGCAAAUAACAAUUAACGACCGGUUUUCUGAACCCGUCGCUAUUGACUUUUUGCGUCAGAAGCUGUUACGACAGGUGACGACCAGUUUUUCCCGUCGUAAUUGCGCUAUUAGGACCAGAAUUUGAUCUUUAGGGACAAGAUUUCUCUUCCUUAAAGGCCGUUUUUCUUGUAGAACAUUCCACCCAUUUAAUUAUAAAACUCAGAUUUGUGUGUGCUAUAAUUUUAAAAACUGGUGGUGUCUCUUCCGGUUCAUGAGAUCAUAGACAAGGUCUUCAUCAUUGCCAUAUAUAACUAAGAUUUCAGAAAAAGGAUUGUAUAUCAAAGUUGUUAGAGAGAAAAACAUAAAACCAGAUUCGGAUUAAUCUGUAUCUAAUUUAUCAAAACUGGAAAAAGAGCAGUCAUUCUGGGAUUACAUCACCUUCCUUAUUAUUUCAAGAAGCUAAUCAAAAUCUAAAUCUAAAAACACCCAAUCUCAAAAACAAUUGUCAGUUUGGAGAUUUGAAUCGCGAGUCAUAACCAAAAUACAUUGGUGUUCAAUUAUGGAAACUCUAGUUCUUCGUAUUUUCUCGUUCCCCUUUUAGAUCUUGGGGGAAAAAUCUUGUUGGGGGUUGGGCUGGGGGGUGUGGUGUUGUGAUGGAAGAAACUGGAAAAAAUUAAUGAAAUCUUUUUAGAGAAUAAAAAAAUGAAAAAUCUGCACAAAUAGUUUCCAGAUGGCGUUUUAGAUACAAUAUUUUAACUCUUCACUUGCCUCUUAUGCGUGUAAAUCACGAGUCUAAAAGUAGUGUGUAUUACAUACACUCUGAAGAUGUUGAGUGUGUAAGAUAGUUUUUGUGCCUGUCGAGUUGAAUGUUGGGUUACCUAGAAUCAAUUGGGCGUUGGUAGACACGAAUUUGAGAGAAAAAUAACCUC
rnacentral:lncRNA from 1 species